GGUCAAAUUUAUGGGCAAGAAUAGUUAAACUAGAAUCAGUCAUGAAUAAUUCUGCAACAGAACGUUACAGCAGGUAUCGGAUUUGCAGUCGUCACUUUGAACUAAAAAUGUAUCCACAUCAGCUGUUGUGCCACUGACUGAAAGCAACAGCAUAUCCAACUCUUCAUGUUUCAGGUGAAACAAUAAGGACAACCAAACAAACAGUUGUGACAAACAAACCAAGACUUUCCACCUCAAAAAUAUUGACAUUUAUGAAUCGUCACAUUUUACUUCUGGCAGUGUUUACUCUGAUUAAGCAACACCACUAAGGCCGUCCACUUCGAUAAGUUAUGAAAUUUGUUUAGAUUAUUUUCAGCAUUGUGAAGGAACAAACUGUGUUGAAGAUGGAGAACAUUUUUAAUAACAUUAGACAGCGGAACGAUGAGUGCUU